rnacentral:tRNA from 1 species
UCCGGAGUCGUCUAAUGGCAGGACGUCAAGUUUUGGUCUUGAAAAUUGGGGUUCGAAUCCCUGCUCCGGAG